GUUAGGAAUAUUGGGCAAUGGGCGAAAGCCUGAUCCAGCCAUGCCGCGUGAACGAUGAAGGCCUUCGGGUUGUAAAGUUCUUUAGCCGAUGAUUAUAAUGACUGUAGUCGGAAAAUAAGCCCCGGCUAACUUCGUGCCAGCAGCCGCGGUAAUACGAAGGGGGCGAGCGUUAUUCGGAAUCACUGGGCGUAAAGCGUGCGUAGGCGGUUUUGUAAGUUAGGAGUGAAAGCCCAGGGCUCAACCUUGGAAUUGCUCUUAAAACUGCAAGGCUCGAAUCUCGGAGAGGAUAGCGGAAUUUCCAGUGUAGCAGUGAAAUGCGUAGAUAUUGGAAGGAACACCAGUGGCGUAAGCGGCUAUCUGGACGAGUAUUGACGCUGAGGCACGAAAGCGUGGGGAUCAAACAGGAUUAGAAACCCGUGUAGUCC
rnacentral:rRNA from 1 species